GGAAAAGAAACCAACCGGGAUUGCCCUAGUAACGGCGAGUGAAGCGGCAAAAGCUCAAAUUUGAAAUCUGGCAUCUUUGAUGUCCGAGUUGUAAUUUGAAGAGGUUACUUUGGAGGCUGGCUCUUGUCUAUGUUCCUUGGAACAGGACGUCAUGGAGGGUGAGAAUCCCGUCUGGCGAGAGUUUCAGUUUCUAUGUAAAGUAGCAUUCGACGAGUCGAGUUGUUUGGGAAUGCAGCUCAAAGUGGGUGGUAAAUUCCAUCUAAAGCUAAAUAUUGGCGAGAGACCGAUAGCGAACAAGUACAGUGAUGGAAAGAUGAAAAGAACUUUGAAAAGAGAGUGAAAAAGUACGUGAAAUUGUUGAAAGGGAAGGGCAUUUGAUCAGACAUGGUGUUUCGUGCUUCUUGCUCCUUGUGGGCGGGGAGACUCACACGGUUCACUGGGCCAACAUCAGUUUUGGCAGCAGGAUAAAACCUUGGGAACGUAGCUUUCUUCGGGAAGUAUUAUAGCCCUUGGCAAUACUGCUAGCCGGGAUUGAGGACUGCGCAUUUAUGCAAGGAUGUUGGCUUAAUGGUUAAAUGCCGCCCGUCUUGAACCCACGGAACCA
rnacentral:rRNA from 1 species